AAAUAUUGAUGAACAAGAAUGUGUCCCCAGUACACAAAUGCCCCACUCGCACUAUCAUUUUCUAUGUUCAGUGGACCGUGAAAUUGGGGUAAACCCUCUAAUUUGGCAUUAAAAUUAAAAAGAUCAUAUCAUAGGGAACAUGUAUACUAAGUUUGAAGUCGAUUGGACUUCAACUUCAUCAAAAACUACCUUGACCAAAAACUUUAACCUGAAGCGGGACAGACGGACGAACGAACGAACAGACGGACGAACAGACGGACGGACGAACGGACGCACAGACCAGAAAACAUAAUGCCCCUCUACUAUCGUAGGUGGGGCAUAAAAAACUUCAUAUU
rnacentral:lncRNA from 1 species